UACAGAGGUCCCAAGCGUUGUUCGGAUUCACUGGGCGUAAAGGGUGCGUAGGUGGCCAGGUAAGUUUGGUGUGAAAGCUCGGAGCUUAACUCCGAAAAGUCAUUGAAUACUAUCUGGCUGGAGGGUCGGAGGGGAGACUGGAAUUCUCGGUGUAGCAGCGAAAUGCGUAGAUAUCGAGAGGAACACCAGUGGCGAAGGCGAGUCUCUGGACGACUCCUGACACUGAGGCACGAAAGCUAGGGGAGCAAACAGG
rnacentral:rRNA from 1 species